UUGAGGAAAGUCGAUCCUCGCGUCGUCCUCGUCGUUUUGGUUCGCUCGGCUCGCUAAUCCGGUCCCUGGUGGACGGAGCGGCCGUAUAGCUUUGGUUGGCCUUGAGGAGUUGGAGAUGUGAAGUCAUAAAGAUUGGAGAUCGUGUACGACUUGUAGGUCGUAGGAUAACCUCUUUUUAAGAGCCAGUCUUUUGUAGACUGUUGGCCGUAAACCCCUGUUUGUAAUUCUAUUGAAUUAUGUUUAAGUGUUAUGUUGUGGUUUU